GGGAAGCUUCCUAAAACCAGGGUGAUCCACACGCCAAAGAACGUGUCGACCAGGUGAAGAUCAAAACUUCAAUGGAAGUUGGUGAUCUGAUGAAUCGCCAUUGGAGUCACCACAGAAGCCCUAGCCGCACAUAUAUUUUUCUCAUUGAAAAAAAAAAAAAAUAAUAACUUUAUAGUGGUUAUUCCAUCGAUUUAGGGAGUAUUAUGAAGUUUUAUUAAAUUAUUUAAUAAAAACAAUUGAAAGAUGCUCAUUUACCAUGAAAAAGAGUUUAGCAUACAUUAAUACAAAUGUAGAAUAUGGUAUAAAUUUUAAAACAACACUUAAGAUUAU
rnacentral:lncRNA from 1 species